AAAAGACUUAGUCCUAACCUUACCAUUAAUUAUUGUCCAACAUAUACAUGCAAGUAUCCGCGCCCCAGUGUAAAUGCCCCCAGCCAUCUUACUAAGACAGAGGGAGCAGGUAUCAGGCACACACCUCCCGCAGCCCAAGACACCUUGCUUAGCCACACCCCCACGGGUAUUCAGCAGUAAUUAGUAUUAAGUAAUAAGUGUAAACUUGACUUAGUUAGGACAAAACAGGGUUGGUAAAUCUUGUGCCAGCCACCGCGGUCAUACAAGAAACCCAAAUUAAUGGCAGCACGGCGUAAAGAGUGACAUGACGAUAUCACCGCAACUAGAACCAAAACACAACUAAGCUGUCAUAAGCACAAGCUGUGCCAAAGAACUCCCGGAAGGUGGUUCUAGUUAACAUGACUAACUUACUGUCACGAAAGCUAAGACACAAACUGGGAUUAGAUACCCCACUAUGCUUAGCCCUAAAUCUCGACACCUCCCCAACCAAAGUGUCCGCCUGAGAACUACGAGCACAAACGCUUAAAACUCUAAGGACUUGGCGGUGUCCUAAACCCACCUAGAGGAGCCUGUUCUGUAAUCGAUAACCCACGAUACACCCGACCACUCUUUGCCCAACUCAGCCUACAUACCGCCGUCGCCAGUUUACCUAGCUUGAGAGAACAGUAGUGAACACAACAGCCCUAACCACGCUAACAAGACAGGUCAAGGUAUAGCCCAUAGAGUGGAAGAAAUGGGCUACAUUUUCUAAAUUAGAAAAUCACGAAAAGGGAUAUGAAACUCUCCCUAGAAGGCGGAUUUAGCAGUAAAAUUGGACAAUAAUGCCCUCUUAAAACUGGCCCUAGGACACGUACAUACCGCCCGUCACCCUCCUCACAAGCUACACACGCAAGUAACUAACAACAACUCCAGCCAAAGAUGAGGCAAGUCGUAACAAGGUAAGUGUACCGGAAGGUGUACUUAGCAUAUC
rnacentral:ncRNA from 1 species